AACGAACGCUGGCGGCAUGCCUAACACAUGCAAGUCGAACGAGACCUUCGGGUCUAGUGGCGCACGGGUGCGUAACGCGUGGGAACCUGCCCUUAGGUUCGGAAUAACUCCCCGAAAGGGGUGCUAAUACCGGAUAAUGUCUUCGGACCAAAGAUUUAUCGCCUUUGGAUGGGCCCGCGUUGGAUUAGCUAGUUGGUAGGGUAAAAGCCUACCAAGGCGACGAUCCAUAGCUGGUCUGAGAGGAUGAUCAGCCACACUGGGACUGAGACACGGCCCAGACUCAGAGGGGAGAGCGGGAGGGAAUAGGGUAGAAGUGGGGCGAAAGCCGUACACGACGACGCGGGGGGUGUGAGAGUGGCUUGUGGGGUGUAAGGCUGUUUACCGGGAAAGAAAAAGGAAAAGAGCGGGAUUAUACGCGCCGGCAAACUCCGUCCCAGGAGGGGGGGGAAUGAGGAAGAGAAGACGUAGGAAU
rnacentral:rRNA from 1 species